GGCUCAGCAGAGCCCGGGGCACAGGCCGGAGGGGCUGCAGGCGCGAGGCUGGGUUACGUGAGGAAGCUGGGGGUUUCGCGGGCAGCUUUAGAGCCCCAGUCAGGGAAACCGAGGCCGGGCUUCCUGGCUGCCUCGCGAGCCUCUUCAUGGCUCUCGCCGCCGCCCUGAGGUGCCUAGAAUGGGUUCCGGCCUCCGGGGAGGUUCCCAGUAACCGCAGGAGCCACCAUUGAUUUGGCGUCUGCUGGGUGCAAAGCCCAGCGCGCUAACCCUUUACUCGCGACCUUUCGCUUCACCUUCACAGCAGCCCUGCGAG
ensembl:lncRNA CABIN1 calcineurin binding protein 1